rnacentral:tRNA from 1 species
ACUUUUAUAGUGUAUAUAACACAUUACUUUUUCAUAGUAAAGAAGAAAAUAUUUUCUUUAAGUA